rnacentral:rRNA from 1 species
UUGACGCUGAGGUUGGUACUUGUACCGACUGGAUGAGCAGCGAACGGGUGAGUAACGCGUGGGGAAUCUGCCUUUGAGCGGGGGACAACAUUUGGAAACGAAUGCUAAUACCGCAUAAAAACUUUAAACACAAGUUUUAAGUUUGAAAGAUGCAAUUGCAUCACUCAAAGAUGAUCCCGCGUUGUAUUAGCUAGUUGGUGAGGUAAAGGCUCACCAAGGCGAUGAUACAUAGCCGACCUGAGAGGGUGAUCGGCCACAUUGGGACUGAGACACGGCCCAAACUCCUACGGGAGGCAGCAGUAGGGAAUCUUCGGCAAUGGACGAAAGUCUGACCGAGCAACGCCGCGUGAGUGAAGAAGGUUUUCGGAUCGUAAAACUCUGUUGGUAGAGAAGAACGUUGGUGAGAGUGGAAAGCUCAUCAAGUGACGGUAACUACCCAGAAAGGGACGGCUAACUNCGUGCCAGCAGCCGCGGUAAUACGUAGGUCCCGAGCGUUGUCCGGAUUAUUGGGCGUAAGCGAGCGCAGGUGGUUAUUAAGUCUGGUGUAAAAGGCAGUGGCUCACCAUUGUAUGCAUUG